ACCUUGUUACGACUUCUCCUUCCUCUAAGUGUUAAGGUUCACAAAACUUCCCAUUUCGGGCACGAACGCGCCACAAAACGGUCCGAAUAAUUCACCGGAACACUCAAUCGGUAGGAGCGACGGGCGGUGUGUACAAAGGGCAGGGACGUAAUCGGCGCAAGCUGCUGACUUGCGCCUACUAGGCAUUCCUCGUUGAAGAUUAAUAAUUGCAAUAAUCUAUCCCCAUCACGAUGCAUACUCACAAGAUUACCUAGACCUAUCGGCCAAGGUUAUAAACUCGUUGGAUGCAUCAGUGUAGCGCGCGUGCACGCCCAGAACAUCUAAGGGCAUCACAGACCUGUUAUUGCCUCAAACUUCCUUGCGUUAGACACGCAAAGUCCCUCUAAGAAGUGAUACAAGAACACGAAGUUCCUGAUCCUAUUUAGCAGGUUAAGGUCUCGUUCGUUA
rnacentral:rRNA from 1 species